rnacentral:sRNA from 1 species
UCUGGAACGUAGUUUACAUAUUCUUGAAAAUAGACCAGUAAACUUCUUUGCCUAUUUAGGUUCUGAAUGGUGACUGAGUUUUGCGGUACGAGAAAAGUACGGUGCGGUUCAAAUAGUAACGAAAAUAUAUAGAUACAUAUGUAUACGUAGAGAUUUUGAUACUGUUACAACACUAUUGCGGUGCAGUUUUGGGUGCAGUUUUGGUUACCAUUCACAGCCUUAAUUUGUUACAUUAUUAACAGGAAAAAAAAACUUGAAAUUCUUUACUCUUCAGUCUUCAGCACACUUUGUUAGAAAACAUAUCUUUGUCGUUUAUUUCGGGUAACACGUAAACAACUAUACCGUAAACUACACUAGAAGAUGAGUGGUUAGAAAGUGAGAUAUUUUCAUGUGCAUUCGGUGUCAUGAUAUCCAUUUUCUUCUUCACUUUUUCGAUUCUUUCUAAUCCUUGACCAAGUCUUGUGUUUAAUGUUACCGGCUUAAGCAUAUGCUAGCGUGAUGGAAAAUAUCACACCAAUUGUACAAAUUUCUACAUUUUUCUCUUUUAUUUGCAGGAGCUUUGCUCUCCAGCGGACAGCCCCACAUCGAUGAUUUUUCCACAUCAUU